rnacentral:rRNA from 1 species
AGACAAUAGAUACCCGGGUAGUCCACGCCGUAAACGAUGAAUGCUAGUUGUAAUCAGUAUCGACCCUGGUUGUAAACGAAAGCUAAACGCGUUAAGCAUUCCGCCUGUGGAGUACGAGCGCAAGCUUAAAACCAUAAAGGAAUUGACGGGGACCCGCACAAGCGGUGGAGCGUGUUGUUUAAUUCGACGAUAAACGAAGAACCUUACCAAGGUUUGACAUCCUACUAAUCCCAGCGAAAGCCGGGAGUGCCUUCGGGCCGUAGAGACAGGUGUUGCAUGGCCGUCGUCAGCUCGUGUCGUGAGAUGUUUGGUUAAGUCCAUCAACGAGCGCAACCCUUAUAGUUAGUUGGAUUUUU